GCGCCCGUAGCUCAGCUGGAUAGAGCAUCGGCCUUCUAAGCCGAGGGUCAGAGGUUCGAAUCCUCUCGGGCGCACCA
rnacentral:tRNA from 1 species